UUAUUUUGGCAGUGUCUGCGUCGACCCGGUCUACGCAACGCCCAGCGUUGGGUAGACCCAGAAUUGUGAUUGGCUAUUAAGAAAAAGUCACGUGUCUAUAUAAAUUGAGUGAAUUAUUUUGUUAAGGUUAUUUAUAUAAAUUUUAAAUUAGUAGAAAUGAAAUUAUAUUAGAUAUAUGCAAUGCAUUCUGAGAUAAUUAUUAUGUGUAAUGUCACGUGUUACAUUUGAUGAGGGGCGGGAGAAUCCCUUCGGUUUCCCGCGUUUUGACCGUUGUUUACUUUCUUCGGCUCCUGGUGUUCCUGCAACCUUCGCAAGUCCACCUCUAUUUGUUGUGAACCCUCGUUUCUGAGCGUUGAUCUUCCCUUCUUGGUGUCUUGUUGAUUUUUUUCACGUAUUUAUUUCUUUCGCGAGAUUCCGAUUGCCUUUGUAUUUAGCCCAAAACUCGGGUGUACCACGUGCUUUGAUAUCUGGGGGUUCCGUGACUGGGACAACUGGGGUUUCUUGUGGAAAGACCUUCGGCAUUUUCCUAUUGAAACCAGACGUGGCUGUCGAGAUUCAGUCGAUUCGUUCUUUAGCGGCGAUUAAGCGUCUGUUCGUCAUGACUGCUGGAUUGACGGUCAUCCUCCCGAGGCAAAGCAGCCCGCGGUGGACGUGCCGAGGUUCUGCGGGAAAGAACAAGGAUGCCCGGGAGACGAACACUUUCUGCAGGAACCACAAGGCAGGCCAUGGUUUCAUCGAACAGCCGGGAGUGGAGCGGGAUGCUGAAGGAUAGAGGCGCUCACUUCAGUGAGCCCAGCUUGAACCCCACCAUUGGUGUCCUGGGCACCACUCUGAAUAAGCUGCUUCAGUUGUGACUUGUAGCACUAAGUUCCUGUCACCCAGUUCAUCGUCAUCUCGGAACCAAGGGCAUUGGUCCUGCCUGCUAGUUACCACUUGAAUAAAAGUUGGAAUGGUGCAGUGUGUUUGUGUAAAUAAACUGUUGAAGUUGUGACAGUA
rnacentral:lncRNA from 1 species